rnacentral:piRNA from 1 species
CACAAGGACUUCUUGCCAUGUAUUUGUGGAC